rnacentral:rRNA from 1 species
UAGGGAAUUUUGGGCAAUGGGCGAAAGCCUGACCCAGCAACGCCGCGUGUGGGAUGAAGGCCCUCGGGUCGUAAACCACUGUCAGGAGGAAAGAAAAGUCGGCCGGAUAAUACUCGGUCGACCUGACGGUACCUCCAAAGGAAGCACCGGCUAACUCCGUGCCAGCAGCCGCGGUAAUACGGAGGGUGCAAGCGUUGUUCGGAAUUACUGGGCGUAAAGCGCGUGUAGGUGGUCGAGUAAGUCGAAUGUGAAAGCCCCGGGCUCAACCCGGGAAGUGCAUCCGAAACUGCUCGACUAGAGUCCCGGAGAGGAAGGCAGAAUUCCCAAUGUAGGGGUGAAAUCCGUAGAUAUUGGGAGGAAUACCGGUGGCGAAGGCGGCCUUCUGGACGGUGACUGACACUCAGACGCGAAAGCGUGGGGAGCAAACAGGAUUAGAUACCCCGGUAGUCCCUGAGCGGGCUGGCAAGGCGCAU